rnacentral:misc_RNA from 1 species
GAUGAAGAACGUAGUGAAAUGCGAUACUUGGUGUGAAUUGCAGAAUCCCGUGAACCAUCGAGUCUUUGAACGCAAGUUGCGCCCGAAGCCAUCAGGUUGAGGGCACGUCUGCCUGGGCGUCACAUAUCGUUGCCCAAUGCCUAUUGCAGUGCAAUAGGAAUUUCUAGGGCGAAUGAUGGCUUCCCGUGAGCGUUGUUGCCUCGCGGUUGGUUGAAAAUCGAGUCCUUGGUAGGUUGUGCCAUGGUAGAUGGUGGUCGAGUUAGAACGAUACCGAUCAUGUGCAUGCUCCCCAAAAUAUGGCCUCUAUGACCCACACGCGUCUUUUGACGCUCAUGACGAGACCUCAGGUCAGGCGGGGCUACCCGCUGAAUUUAAGCAUAUCAAUAAGCGGAGGA